rnacentral:lncRNA from 1 species
AUACUGUUUCAUCCUUGUUUAAUUAUAUAUUUAUUUUCACUCAGUCCUUAAACACAAACUUUGGCUUAAUCUCUCCUCAGGUUUUCAUGUCACCACAAGGUCAAACAGAAUAAAUCAUUGAAGGCUGACAUCAGAAGCUGAGGCAAAUAUCUAACAAUACUCUGGCAGAACACAGCUGGGAGAAUAGGACACUGCCUGACAGAGGCCCUCGCCUCCAACGGGAACUGAACCACCGCACGCUCCUGGCCGCUCCUUCCCAGCACGGGGCCGGACAGUUGUCCACGCUCUCCAGGACAGGUAACAUCACCCCGACCCACACCCUCCCACGCUCCCAUAGCAGGCAGCCAGCUGACAGGAUCAGGCCAGGAUGGCAGGGACAGCUCCAUCAGGACGACGGGACACGGACAGCCUCGGUGAGACUCUAGAGACCCUCGGGCAGAGAGGCGGGGGCUGCCCGUGCUCACAGGGGGAUGCUGCUGCGUUUGCUGCUUCUUCUCUUUCAGCCAGUAACACAGCGAUGGUACCAGAGCACCGCACACUCCCCGCUCUCUGCCCACCACCACUCAGCUGGAAGGAAGAGCUGCCAACGCUCUCCAGGACAGGUAAGAUUGUCCCAAACCAUUCCCCACUCCGGUCCACAGCAAGCAGGACGAUGACACGCUCGGGAAAGGAUGGCAGUGAGCUCCUUCAGCAUGACAGGACACAGACAGGCUCGCCAGAAACACACAACGAUGGGACCAGACCACAACACUCUCCUCCCUUACUGGCCACGACCACUCAGCUGGAAGGAAGAGCUGCCAACGCUCUCCAGGACAGGUAUGAUUGCCCCAACCCACACCCCAGCAUGAUCUCACAGCAAGCAGAAGACGGACAUGCUCGGGACAGGAAGGCAGUGAUGCUCCAUUAGGAUGACUGGAGAUGGACGGACGUGGUGAGAUGCUGGAGACCCUCGGGCAGAGAGGCGGGGGCAGCCCGUGGUCACAGGGGGAUGCUGCUCUGUUUGGUGCUUCUUCUCUUUCAGCCACAAUCACACAGCGAUGGGACGAGACCAUAGCACACUACCCCCUCACGGCCCUCGACCACUCAGCUGGAAGGAAGAGCUGCCAACNNNNNNNNNNAUUGCCCCAGCCCAUUGCCCACCUCUAUGGUCUCACUGCCCUGGCCUAACACAGCUGACUCUUGGCUGUCAGCGAUGCACAGGAAGGAUGGCCUUGCUGUCGGGCUGGGAGUGUCUCACGCAGGGAGGCAGGGCCUGCCCCUGGCCGUGGGCUGGGGCUGCUCUUUUUGAUCAUUUUCCUUUCUCACCCCAUCACAGAGUCCCGAGGAGUCCAAGGUCUGCCACUGUCCUUUCCUGCCUCUGCCCAGUUGCUCCACGGCCUGAAGGCUGCUGCAGCUUUCUACAACCACAGCCAUCGAAGGAGCAGCAAGCACACAGGGACCCCGCCUCUACCCUGACAUGGUCCUACAAGCACAACCACAGGCCCCGCAGCUAUGGACAAAGAGAGCUCGGCACACCUCCGUGACACCCCACCGCACCCCAUGUCUCUCAAACGUUACUCAAAUAAAGGUUCUGAUUCACAACCUCAUCGGCUGCUCUUUCCUGCCCUUCUUGGGGAAACCUCAAGGGGGGUUGCCUUUUGCAGAAGGAGCGAGUGCAGCAGCCUGCGCUUCUUCAGGUGCUGGCAUCAAGAGAAUUUCAAAGCACGUUAUGUGUCCUAAUCUAAGACCAGGGUCUGCAGGCGUGGCUCUGGAAACCAGUGUACUCCCUCUUUCAUCAAGG